rnacentral:rRNA from 1 species
CCUACGGGAGGCUGCAGUGAGGAAUAUUGGUCAAUGGACGAGAGUCUGAACCAGCCAAGUAGCGUGAAGGAUGACUGCCCUAUGGGUGGUAAACUUCUUUUAUAUGGGAAUAAAAUGUUCCACGUGUGGGAUUUUGUAUGUACCAUAUGAAUAAGGAUCGGCUAACUCUGUGCCAGCAGCCGCGGUAAUACGGAGGAUCCGAGCGUUAUCCGGAUUUAUUGGGUUUAAAGGGAGCGUAGGUGGAUUGGUAAGUCAGUUGUGAAAGUUUGCGGCUCAACCGUAAAAUUGCAGUUGAAACUGGCAGUCUUGAGUACAGUAGAGGUGGGCGGAAUUCGUGGUGUAGCGGUGAAAUGCUUAGAUAUCACGAAGAACUCCGAUUGCGAAGGCAGCUCACUGGACUGCAACUGACACUGAGGCUCGAAAGUGUGGGUAUCAAACAGGAUUAGAUACCCCAGUAGUC